ACGCCAGUAGCUCAAUUGGUAGAGUAGCGGUCUCCAAAACCGUUGGUUGGGGGUUCGAUUCCCUCCUGGCGUGCCA
rnacentral:tRNA from 1 species